GUCUUCUCCCCUUCUCUGAUUUUUCAUUUCUCUUCUCUGCAUCUCUGCUUUUCCUUCACAUCUUCUUCAACCAUCUACAACUCUCCACAAUUGUUGCUUCCAUUCGAAAAUACAAAGGAUGAAGGAGCUAAUUGCAAAUUCCAGGAACUUCAAAAAGUGAGAUGCAGUAGCUACAGUGCUACUGCAUCUUUGGAGUGAUACUGUUAAAAAACGCAAAAAAGGGACGAUUUGAGAUGCGUUUUGGAGUAUGAUUGGAGGUGUUUUUCACUGGAAAUUUGCGUUUUGCCGCAUGGUUGAAGAUGACCUUAUAUAAGUUGAUAAGGAUUUAUGUAAGUAUAUGUAUAUGAUUUAGUGAUGAAAAGAGUUCCAAAUUUUUUUAAACAACUGGGAACAACCAGAUAUUCCCUAUAGCUUGGGCAAUGAUUGAAGUUAAAAAUACGAGAUGUUGGAAUUGGUUCAUCAACAUUUUGGUAGAAGAGCUCGAUUUUAGAGAAGAAGUUGGGACAAUUUUUAUUAGUGAUCAACAGAAGAAGGGUCUUGAUAAAAUUGUGAAGAAAUUUGCCCCACUUAGCAUAGAAAUUGUGCAAUGGGCAAAACUUGAAGAAGAGAGCCACAAAGGAUGUCUUGAAUAGUCUAUUCUGUAGGGACGUAGCCACAAAGAGUUGGCCCCACUUAGCACAGAAAUUUGUUGACAUAGUGGAUUAAGAAUCGAACUAGAUUUUGUAAGACCUUUAUAAUAGUACUUGUGCAAUGCUUUAUUUCUAUUUUAAA